GCACACUCCUAGGGUUUGAAAGAUUGUUUUUAAGCCGAUGAAAGGGACAUUCACGCGCGCACACAGAAUUCACGGCCGCUGGGAGGAAAGCCUCCGCGCACAAACUCUCUCUCUCUUGGCCGCAGCAGCCCACUUCUCUUCCCUCUCACUCUCUCCAUUCUCUCACUCCCUCCAUUAUCUCUUUCAGCCUCUCACGCUCCCUCUCAUGAAGCAGACAGCAGCAGCCCUCGCCAUCACCGUCUUCCCUCAACUUCACGGCUACCCUCCUCAAGCACAGAUUGGCCUUCUCCUCUUCCUCCUUCGCAAAGCUUCUUCCUCUGUUCUUCGUCUAUCUUCUUCUUCAUGCAAGAUCAGCUUCGCUUAUUAUUUCUUGUGAUUAAUGGACUCGGCUCCCUAUAAGCUCUCAAUCAGAAACCACUGACGGCGCAAUUAAAUAUUGAUUCAAGGUCCUAUAGUUCAAACUUGGGAACUAUUGGUUCUUUUGACAUAAGAUUGGUUCCCAAUGGAUCAUUUUGCAAUAGUGCUCCUAGAUUCAUCAAGCUUGAGAGGGAGUCAAGAACACGCUCAAUGCCUGUACUAGACAAGUCUAAAACUGUCAAACUUUGCAUACUUGCAAAAAAGACAUUGGACAUUUCUGUUAAUCUUUUAUUAUCAUUUAGCAGCAAAGUAGAGAGCAUAGGGCACUCUGGCGAUAUGGAAACUACCACCCCUCUACGUAACCAAUUAUACAUUAAUGAAGCCCUCUCUAGAUUCCUUGGCCAAUUUUCGUCAUUUGGGAGCUCUUCCAGUUGGGCACCAGCUUUGACCAUGAACUUAUCCAAUCUUGCAAUAUCAAGGGCCUUGUCUCUUAUCACAUCAUGCAUCUUUACACAAUUGCGAUGGUUACUUACAGAACUUUGUAGUAAGCAUGCAUUUAUAAGUUUAUUCAAUAUAGAGUAGCCCCGAUCAAAUCCUCUUGUCUAGUAUCCAUUUUAUUUAUUAGCCCCUCGCAGAUCCAAUACCGUAUCAAUUCUAUUCUUGGAAUGCCAUAAUCUUCUGGAAACAAGGCACAAUACAAGAGACAUUGCUGCAUCUUUUCAUUCUUCAAUCGAUCAUAACUAAAUUUUAAGCGCUUAGAGAUAACUAGAGCAUGUUGUUUCAAUUUGUGUAAAGCAUAAUUCCACUUAUAAAUGUCUCACACUUCUGUCAAAGGAAAAACACAAGAAGUGGCUUAAAUAGAGCAAGAUUCCAAAAAAAGGAGAUAUUUCUCUCCAUCAAAGUUCUUAAAGAAUAUUGAGAAGAAGACUAAAGAAGUAAACGAAAUUUUUAAGCAAGGCGAAUUUCCUAAUGGGGUUGUUAUUGACACAUGUUUAGAUAAAGGACUUCCAUUUUCUGCCACACUAUUAAUAGGUGAAGCUACAACCAAGAAAAACCUUGAAAAGAUUUGGGAAAUAUUGAUGAAAGAUGACAUUAGAAGGGUGGGAGUUUAUGGAAUGGGAGGAGUGGGCAAAACAACCAUUGUAACGCACAUCCACAACCGACUCUUGGAAAAUUUGAGUCCCUUUGGUUCUGUUUUUUGGGUCAUUGUAUCUCAAGAAUCAAGUGUUCGCAUCUUGCAAAAUAAGAUUGCAUUAAAAUUGGGUGUGAAGUUGAAGGGGAAGAAGAUGAAAUGAUAAGGGCUGCUAUGUUGUCAAAAGCAUUGAAUGCUAGAGAGAAAUUUGUCAUUAUUUUAGAUGAUAUUUGGGAUUGUUAUUCUAUAGAGGGUCUGGGAAUUCCUAUUAAUGAAUAUAGCAAGGAGAAGUUGAUCAUAACUUCUCGGUUCUCCGUAGUGUGUCCACAUAGAGUUGACCCACUUUCAACUAAAGAAGCUUGGAGUCUAUUCAAGGAAAAAUUGGGGCCUCACACUGUUCUUGUUGUUCCUAAAGUGGAAAGAAUUGCCAAAUCUGUUGCCAAAGAAUGUGCCAGUUUGCCCCUUGCAAUCAUCACAGUGGCUGGAAGCUUGACAGGAGUGUGUGACAUUUAUGAGUGGAGUUAUGUUUUACACAAAUUGAAACAACAUGCUCCAGUUAUCUCUAAGUGCUUAAAAUUUAGUUAUGAUCGAUUGAAGAAUGAAAAGAUGCAGCAGUGUCUCUUGUAUUGUGCCUUGUUUCCAAAAGAUCAUGACAUUCCAAUAAUAAAAUUGAUACGGUAUUGGAUCUGCGAGGGGCUAAUAAAUAAAAUGGAUACUAGACAUGAGGAGUUUGAUCAGGGCCACUCUAUAUUGAAUAAACUUAUAAAUGCAUGCUUACUACAAAGUUCUGUAAGUAACCAUCGCAAUAGUGUAAAGAUGCAUGAUGUGAUAAGAGACAGGGCCCUUGAUAUUGCAGGAUUGGAUAAGUUCAUGGUCAAAGCUUGUGCCCAAUUGGAAGAGUUCCCAAAUGACGAAAAUUGGCCAAGGAAUCUAGAGAGGGCUUCAUUAAUGUAUAAUUGGUUACGUAGAGGGGUGGCAGUUUCCAUAUCGCCAGAGUGCCCUAUGCUCUCUACUUUGCUGCUAAAUGAUAAUAAAAGAUUAACAGAAAUGUCCAAUGUCUAUUUUGCAGGUAUGCAAAGUUUGAUAGUUUUAGACUUGUCUAGUACAGGCAUUGAGCGUGUUCUUGACUCCCUCUCAAGCUUGAUGAAUCUAAGAGUACUAUUGCUUAAAAAUUGCCGAAAUUUAAAUUAUGUUCCUUCUUUGGCACAACUCAAAAAAUUAAGGGAACUUGAUCUUCAGGGAAGUGAAAAUUGUGGAGCUCUGAUGGGCAUUGAAGAAUUAGGUGACCUCAAAUUCCUGGACUUGUGUGGUAUGUCCAUUGAAUGGAUGUUUCCUCAAACUCAAAGUGGGGUGGGGUGGGGUGGGGGGGUCCUCUCCAGGCUAAGGCAGUUGCAGUGCAUUGGAGUUGGAGGUGAACAUGUGCAGUUGGAUCAACUCUCUGUCUUGAAAAAGUUAGAAAGUAUCAAACUAUGGGGCCUUGACCCUCUCAAGUUUAACAAUUGCAUCAAAUCUGAGGCUUGGAAGAAGUUGAAGCACUACUUCCUUUGUUCAUCAGCGAAUGUUCUUCAGCUACCAGAAAUAUUGUUUGGCAGACAUGUAUAUAUAGAUUAUGAUGCUGUUCGUAACAGUCCCCGAAAAGAGGGGAAUUAUCCCUCAUGCUCCCUUCAAAUGUCCAGGAGUUGAUUUUAAGGGGAUGCAGUGAUUUCGGCAGCUUGUCUGAUUUUUUGUCUUCUUUGAAGAACGCUGAGGAUUUAGAGGGAUGCAAAAUUGAAUCCUGCCAAGGAUGCAUUACUUAUGGGCAGAGAAUUGUUGCACUACCGCCACCGAUUCUAAUAUUGUUCCUCUAUUUUUACCGCGGCUGGAGACCUUGGAGCUUUGUGAUUUGCAAAACCUCAAAGCCCUCUUAAAGCUUCAGGAAGGAGCAGUUGGAAGGGGAGGACUAGUACAACCACCUACACCAGUAUCAAGUGGAAGCUUUUCCAAUCUUAAGCAAUUGUCCAUUUUGGAAUAUCCUAACGUAAAGUACAUAUUUCCUCUUGGGUUUGCAUCGAACCACCUCCAAAACCUUAAGAUUUUGUUUGUGGAGGAUUGCCACAACAUUGAGAAUAUCAUUGCUGGGGUGGAUGAAGUCGAAGAAGAAGAAGGGUUAGAUCAGGAAAGGAGCAAGAAUUCCAUGUUCAUGUUCCCAAAAUUAGAAGAAUUGUGGUUGGGAUAUCUGCCCAAGUUGCAGGGCUUAAUAUGUGGCAGUAGGGGGAGCAUGGUCUGUGAUUCUUUGCAGGAAAUAAGUAUAUUUGGAUGCCCAAAUCUGAAGAGUCUCCCUAUUUCUAUUUCUGUGCAUAAUAAUGAUAUUGGCAUGGUGUCAUGUGUUCGUCCUCCUCCUCUUCCAGCUGUUACAAGAAUAAUUCACUUAGAAAGAAGCCAAUUUGAUGCUAUGGAGUGGGCCCACAAACCCCUUUUCAAAUGGGAACCAAGAAGACUCACAUUUGGAGAGCUUCAAUAUCAAUUUCAUGGAUGGUUUGAAGCAGAACGCUAUGAGAUUUGGAAACGCGACUUGGAACACUACAAAGAAGCGUUAUUUUGAAUGGCAAGCAAGGGAAUAAAAUUAUGACUGUUGAUAAUUUGCAAGAAAACAUCUUCUGCUGGUUGAGAAUAAACAAUAAAAUUAUGACUGUCGAUAAUUUGCAAAAAAAAAUAAAAUUGGAGAAUGGGGUUUUCAGCAGGAAAAUCUGGGCCUCGGUUGGCCAAAGUCUGCAUACUGGUCAUGCCACACAGGCUGAUUUCUUUGUACCAAAUCUGGAGGUGCACUAAGCUUAAGGGGUUCCGUAGUUGCUUAAGAGCUGCCAUUAUGGGAUCUAUAUGCUGGAAAAUUUGGGAAAAAAGAAAUACUCUGCUUCUGUCGCAUGUAUAUUUGGUAUGGCUCCAGAAAUUUAAAUUUGAAUAUUUUAUUUGGCUUAGUUUUAAUUUAAUUUAAUUUAAUUUUUUAAAAUUUAAGUCUUAUAUUAGUGUUGCCAUAGUGAAAAAUUAUAAAUUUGUUAAUAUAGCAUAUGUUCUAGAUGUUAUAACAAAUCAAACUAUCUUUUGUGCAUGAUAACCAAUAAUUAUAGAUUUAUCCAAAAUCUAUUUUUAAGUGGCCUUAUAGAGAUUGAUCAAAUCAUAAGUUAUUCAAAGUUAGAGAGAGCAUAGAAGUUUGUCUCUUAUAGUUAGCCACAUCAAUUGACGUGAUCAAUUUCACAGUUUUCCCUAGUUCUAUCUCUUAUAGUUGGUGUCAUCAAAUAGUUUCAAUUUUGUAUUGUCCAGUGCUAUUAUGCCACUUAAAUUCAUCGUGUUUAAAAAUAGACAUAAGAAAUUAUUUAGUUUUAGAUUAAUCUUAAAAAAUACUUUGGAUAUUGAGCACUGUGAUAGAAUGUAAGUAUAAGAAUAAAAAAAUAAAAAAUAAAAAUGAAAACAGCUACAGUCAAAACCUUAAUACAAUUUUUAACAUGAUAGAAUACAAAUUUUGCACAAAUUAUGUGCACUAACUGUGUAUAGCAUGCAAAAAUAAUGUUAGUUAAGUAUAACUACUCAUGAAAUAAGUGAUGAGAUCCUGUAUUGAAUGCCAACUGCAUGACUGAUGCAGUAUAUCGUGAAUUGCAUGCUGGUAGUGGGUAUAGGUUCUCACAUGCUUGAACUGAAUAGUAUCUGCAUGUGCAGAUUAUUAUGAAUUGCUUGCUUGAAUCUAUCAGGUUUAUUUGCAUGGUUUUUAUGAGAAAAUGUUCAAUUUACAAGCGGCAUGCUGUCGAAAUUUCGUUAGAAUUUUUUCAAAAUAAAACCACGUGAUAAGAUGAUUAUGAUGAAAUUAAUCUUAUAAUAUUUUUAAAAGGAGGAGUGAAAACUAAAUGAAUAUUAAACUUCAUCCGUUCAUAAUCAUUGAAUAUUUAAGAGAGCUGAGCUCCAUCCCUAGAGAAGUAGCACAAAGGACUUAUAUGCAUUAUGCUUCGCUUUUUAAAUAUUGAGACUUUUCAAAAAACCCUGGAACAUCAUAUACAACUCUUAAAAGCUCUAUGUUUAUAUGUGGACUGUCCUCAGGUAUAUAAGCACUAUUGAAUGCCUUAAUAUAUAUAUUUGGAUGCAUUUGUAGUCUAUAGGUAGACUAUCUUGUUCAAUUGAUAUUUAUCUAGUAUAGUUGUUGUAAAAGGUUCAGAAUGAUUGCUUAUAUUGAUUGACAUGCGUAAUAAAAUUAAUUUUUGACAAGUAUAAGCACUUCAUCACAUCUAAGCUUGUAUUCAAAUUGAAAGGGGAGCUCUUGAAAUUAAAUUUCCAUGUUUUUCUGCUCACCAGCAUUUUUGGCUUAGAUUAGUUCUGAAUGCACUAUGGCAUGUGCUAAAAUGUAUUGAUUUUACUGGAAAUCUUAAGUUGGAAUAUGUUUAGCCACAAUCAUUUAUGUAGCCAUAUGAUCUUGAUUUAAAUUGUCAUAUCCUUGAGAUCUAUAUGGUUGUAUUUUUUCUAGUCACAUUUUGUUAUGUGCUUAGAUGAUUACCAGAAGAAUUGGGUUUGCAUGAUCUUUAAAGUUUCUUUUUUAGUAAGCAUCUUCCCCCUGUAUUUAUCAAAAAUCAUAAGGGGAUAUAUAUUUUUAUACAUACAUAUAUAUAUAUAUACACAUAUUUUUUUAAAAGCAAGAAAUGAACUUAUAUGAAAUAUAUUUUAUCUCUUGCUUAUGUGCUUAAAUGCUUUCAUGACUUGUGCUAUUUUUGUUUUAAAAUUUUAUGUCAUGAAAUUUAAAUUUUUUUAAAGGUGUUGCAUAAUUGGUUCAUUGACUUAAAAUGACCAGUUAUACUGUCUUGUGUGCAUAAAUGCCAAAUAGAGGGAGAGUGUUUCAAAAAGGGGGAGAGUUCUCUAAGUAAAUUGAAAAAUAUUUCAAAAAGGGGGAGUUUCUUUUUUAAGCUAAGAAAUUUUUUAAGGAUCAAUUUUUUAUACUUAGCUUAGCCCUUUUUGUUGAUGCCAAAAUUGGGAGAGACUUAUAAGAAAAAUGAUAAAUUUCUUAUAUGAGAGACAAAUAUAGGGGCACAUCAUUUAGGGUCAAAAUCUGAGCUUUAAUGUGUUUUAAUGCGACAAACUAAAUGCAUGAUUAUUUGUAAUGUCUUCUCUCUUGAUAUGCCUGUGCUAUAUUGUCUAUUCUUUAAAUUAUGCAUAUUGUUAGGGGGAGCCUUUUCAAGCUUAAUCCAUUUUGCUCGUGUGUGUUUGUCAUCAUAAAAAAGAGGGAGAUUGUUGACUUUUUGAGUUCGAUCCCUAUUUUGAUGCUGACAAAGCAUGUAUCUUAUGUGUGUACUUAGCUUGUGAACAUGUAUAUAAUUCAGAAUACACAUAAGGGAAAGGAAAAAUGGAAGCUCGAAGGACUUAAAGAACAUAUCAUCCGACGUGUUCCAUGAUGACAGAACAGUAAAGAAGAAAGAAAACAUGUUAUUUAUUUUGUAAUUGCAUUUAGUUUUUAUAUAUGGUCUGUAAUAAUGCAUGUUCUACAUGAUGUGAUUAAAAUGCUCGGGACAAACCAUAGAUUGACUGUAGGGAAGGCCACACCAUUAAUGAAAAGCCUUUUCCUAAAACAACAAAAAUCAUACAAAAAAUGUUUAAAUCAUUUAGGGUAAAAAAUACGGCUAAACCUUAAGUUUCCACUAAAUCCAGUUGAUCAACCUAUUCAGUGUUAAAUACCUUAGUCGACCGACUACCUCCGUCAACCGACCAUUUUAUAACAUAGAAGCCCCACCCGAUUGGCCUCACUUUUAGGCCCAUGUUAUCAUGCCCCGGUCAAUAGACCUUUUAGUUCAAAAAGGGCCCCAGUUGACCGGCCGCCUGGGCUAGCAGAUCGGCCUUAGGCCUCAGUUGACCGAACCUACAAAGGGUGGAAAAUCGCCUAAGGACAGCCGAUCGGUCCUGCCCUCGGCCGACCGAACCCAUUGAGAAAUUCAAAUUUGGUGUGAGGUCAACCGAUCGACGCUAGUGUCAGUCGACUGAACCUCUCGGGUUUCGGAAAUUUUCGGCGCUUAAACGUGUUUAAUUUUGUAAUUAAACAUUUCUAAAAUACCAAACGUGUCCCUUAACGGUCAAAAUUUUUAGAACUAUAUAUAUACCCCCUCUCAUAAGCUUGUUUAACAACUUUGAUUAGUCAAAAUUUUUUCUUAAAUUUAUUUGGGCUUUUUUGAUCAAAGUUCCUCCAAACUCAUUUUUUUCUUAAAUUUUUUCAUUUUGUUGGGGCAAAAUUUUUUACACUCUCUUCCACUCAUUGUUUAGAAAAAUCUUUAUAGAAAGAGAGUAUUUAUUUUGGGCAUUUAUUUUUGUAUCCAUGGUAUUUACUCUAAAAUUUUUUUGAGAGUAAGCUUUUAGUGUUUCCCAUAUUAUUUCUUUGAUAAAAAUUUAUUGGGAAAACUCUUCGUAACCUUUGAAUCUUUGCACAUAUAUUGCAAGAUUCAAAUGCUCAUAUAGUAUUUAUUGCAAAAACAUUUUUGAGCAUAAAUCCUAAAUUCUCCAAACAUUUUCAUUGUAAAUCUUUGUUGGAGAAAAUACUUAUUACAUUUAGAUCUUUGAAGCUCUUAUUGCAUAUUUCACUUGACAUCAAAGAUCAAACAUAUUGGUUUUGUGCAAAAAUCAUCUUAAGAGCAAAACCUAGGUUCUCAUGUUAUUCUUUGGAAAAUAUUUUUCUGGAGAAAUAAUUUGUAGGGUUUAAAUCUUUGAAGCUUUUUAUCAUAUAUAUAUAUAUAUAUCAUAUUUAAAGAUUGCAAGCCCUCACUCUACUGGGCAUAAAUCCUAUCAUACUAGAGUGCAUAUUUGAGCUUUAAAGUUGUACAUAUCUGCUUAUUUAAGAAGAAAAUUCUUUGUACGAAAAAUAUUAUUUUAUUUGUACUAGUUUGACUCAGCCUGUAAAUUGAGCUAAGGAGACUCUGCCCCUUAAAGGAGCCUCGGAUUGGCUCAGAUUUGGUUAAGAAAGUUAGGAUUUGCACCAUCUUGGAAAGUGUGCAUAGUUUGUCUUAGCCUGGUAAUUGAGCUAAGGUAUUUCUGCCUUGUAAGGAGAAUUGGUUGUGGCUCAGCCUCUAAUUGAGCUGGGGAGUCUCCGCCCCAUGAGGAGAGUGUAAGUGGUGUCGCUCCGUCCAGUCAAAGUGAGCACUUAGUGAAUCCUUGGGCUACUGGCUCAAGGUGGGGACAUAGGCAGGAUUGGUCGAAACCCGAUAACAAAUUUCGUGUUGCGCUUUCUCUUCCUUACAUUGUUUAAUUUCCGCACAUUAAAUUUCUAUACAUAUAUGUCUGAAUAUUUAUUGUCUUGAUUAUUUUACACACAUGCUUUUAAUAUUGUUGGAUUUUGGGAUUGAAUAGAAAGACCCUAGGUUGUGUAUUACUACUGGCUGUGGUUUAAAUUGAACACACCCAACCUAAGAAGAUUUUUUAAUACCCAAUUCACUUCCCAUUUUGGGAAUACACCAUUCACAUCAAUUGGUAUCAGAGCCUCGUUGUGAAAAGCUUAACCGCUUGUGUUAAAGAUCGCAAUGGCUCUUGCUGGAGUACCCCUAUUCGGUGAGGGACAGUCAUUUACCAGUCCUCCAUUAUUUUGUGAUGUUAAUUACACCACCUGGAAAAUAAGAAUGAGCAUAUUUAUAAAAUCAAUGGACUGGAGGGCGUGGCAGAUGACUGUUAAUGGAAUUUGUAUGCAAAUGAAUAAAAAUGAUACUAGUUUAGUGCAUGUGAAUUCAAAUGCCAUGGAUAUGCUAUAUCGUGCUUUAGAGUUUAAUAUUUUUCAUGAGAUUAUGACAUGUACUUAUGCGAAAGAUGUUUGGGAAGAGCUGGAUAGGAGGUAUGGAAAGACUCAGGAGAAAGAGACCGCCACUCCGGAAGCUCCAAGUUCAAAUGAUCAGGUAGUGACAAAUCAUGGGCUAUUAGCAUUAACAGACAAAGAGGUAUAUGGUUCUUACUCUACCUCUAUUGAUGAUUUUUGUGUUGUGUACUAUCAUACAUCAUGUGUUGAAUUAUCUGUUGAAUUUAGUGAUAAUAAUGCUAAUGAUGCACGCAUCGAUUCAUAUGACUAUUAUAGUGAUAAAUCUUGUAUUGAAUCAUGCAAUAAGUUUAAUGAUAAAGGCAUGUCCUCUAACAAAGAACUAGAAUGUACUUUAUUAAAAAUGCAUAAAUUUUUAGUUAGGGCGUCUAAGCAUAAAACAAUUUUGAAAAAUGAGAACAAAAGCAUAGCAAAACAAUUAGAAGAAUUAAAAGUUUAUCAUGCUAUCCUAGAGAAGAAAAAGAUUAAGAAGAUUUUGAAAAUUAUUUGCUUGGAAAGAGAUAUGAAAGAUCAUUUUAGAAUGACACUCAAAGCUAAAAUUGAAAAGAAUAAUCAUGAUAAAUCCUUAGGAGUUAAAGGUAGUAAAUCUUUCAAAAAGGAUUCAUCUUAUAAAACUCAUAGUCAUUUUUACGUCUCGCCAAGCAAAAAUAGAAGAUAUAAGUAAAAUCCUUCUCUUGUACACAAAGUUGGCUUAUAUCAUAAAAGAAAAAGGCACUUUCAAUUUACUUGCCCAUCCAGAAGUGCCAGAGGCUUAGAUAAGAAAAUGGAAUGGAUUGUUUGGAAAGCAAACCCCUUAAGACCAAAGGAAGAACGAGCUCCAAUAGAAAUCACAUAAUAACUUAAUCCCCCCCGUAGUUCUUUGUUUUAGGGGGAGUGAUGACUAAAAGGCUUAGGUAAUGGUAUGUGCUUAAAUUUUUAAAUCUUAGUAUAUGCAUUCGCCAUACACUACUGGCAUACUAAGAAUCUUAGAUAAUCAUGCCAAUACGAAAAUCUCAAGUAAAAUAUCCAAUCUGAAUUUAAUGUAUAUACAUCAUAUUGAUUGAUUAAAAUAUGAAAUUAUUGGUUACUUGAGUAAAAUCCACUUCCAAAUGGACAAAGGUAGUUUUCUCUGGUAAAUGAUUCUCUAUGCUUAACCCAUGCUUAAGUAUGAAUAUUCCAAAUGGGCUUCAAGAAUCCUUCUUAUUCUAUAUAUCUUUUAAUCCUAAUCUCAUUGAUCAAAAUUUAGUCAUCACCCUAGUCAUAAGCACCGAUCUUCAAAAAAAUAAAAAUAAAAAAUCCAUGUUUAUUAAGUGCUUAUUAAAAGACAUCCCAUCAUAAUCAAAAUAGAGACAUUCAUAAGGGAUUUAAGCUUUAUUGUUCAAAUUAAAAUGUCCCCUUUGAGCUUAAAAAUAUAAAUAUUCUUUAUUUUUUUAUUUACCUUCUUCUACCUAAGAACUCUUUACCAUUCCACGAUCAUAUCUGGUAAAGUUUCAUCCAUUCGUUGGCUCGUGUCCUUGCUCUUCUUUGUGAAGAAAUUUUGAGGAUACCUUCCAAUGGUGGAAAAUAUGAAGUCACCAAAGAGCAAGUGUUCAAAUAAGUUCACAUUCUUCUAAAUGCUCUUUGCACAAGCCUGGACAUGAUUUCUAGUACGAAAACAUUUUGAACAAUGUCCUGCUUCUCCUAAAUACUCUUUUGAACUUAAUAGUAAUUUAAUUGUUAAGAGUAUUUAUCCAAAUUCACCUCGCAAGCUCUCAAAUUUUUAAUCAAAUCCUUUAGAGCUUCGUCUCCCUAAAAUGAAGUUAAAUGGUUAAAAUGAUUGUAUUAGGUUUCAAUUUAGAUGAAGACAUAAAGUUUAGAGAAACCUAUGCACGAGGAGUUAAAUGGAAAGCUAUUCUAAUUAAAAAUUAAAUAUGUUAUAUUAAUAAAUUAAUAUUUAUAUUAUUUUAAAAUUUUUAGUCAUUUAAUUUCUAUUAAAUAAAAAUUAUGUUAUUAUUUUUCAUCAACAAUAAUUAUAUUAUAUAUUAUUUAAUGAUUUAAAAUAUUACUUUGAUAAUAUUUUUAUAAUUUUACAUUCCUUCUUAACUAGUAAAAUGACCAUCAUGCCCAUAAUUUAUUUAAAAUUCUAAAAAUUUGUCACUACUUAUAAACAAUAACUAUUUAUAAAUAAUAAAAAGUAAUCAUUGAUUACUAUACUUGUUUUGCUAAAAAGUUGAGGUAAUUUUUUUAAUAAUAAGUUCUUAUUUGUGUGCAAAUCAGACUAUUUUUUUUUAAAAUUUAUUUGAAACAGUGACUUAAUAUUUUACAUGAAUCGAAGGGGAAAAGAAUUCAAUCAAUUGAAUUGCAGAAUGUUGAAGUUUUAAAACUUGAAUUCUCUCAAUUAAAUUUCUGGAAAUUAAAAAUUAAAAAACAUGUUAAAUGAGCCUAAAAAGUUGAAUGGUUAUAAUAAAUGUCGUUUAGAAAAAUUAUAGAUAAAAAAUUUGAACUUGUAUAAAGAAGGGCUCGUAAACCAAUGCAUGCCGAGGGGAAGGGUGUGGGAUAGAACCGAAUAUACUACAUGUUAUGGAGCCGUCCAAAGUUGAUUAACUAGUGUAAUUAUAAGUACUAAAUUUAGUGAAAAAUUAUACAUCUAUUUGCCCAAGGAUUUUGCUUGUAAAAAAAAAUAAAGAAAAUAAAAAAUUAUUUUUUUGUUAUGCUUUUUAGAUUGAAAACUGUUAAGAAUAAAAAUGUAUUGCUGAUAAUAUGUAAAAUUAAUUUUUUUUCUCAUUACUUGCUUCUUUUUUGUUAUCACUUUUCAUGACAAUUAAGCAUGAAAAAGUGAAUUAUUUUGAUUUUUUGAAUAUUCUUUGUUUUCUAAAUGAGGUCUAGGAAAAGUUUUUCCUAUUUAAUAAAUUAGAAAAAUUACUUGUAAGGGAUAAUUUUUCCUCGUAAUAUUUGAAAUUCUUUAAUUUCAAUAUGUUGUAUCACUGCUUGGACUCAUUAGAGUAAUGUAUGACCUAUACAUUAGAAGUCAUACCAAAUCAUUCCUAAUUUGGAUUGACAAGUCUAAAUAAAAAUGUGGCACAUCCUAAUUGAUGAAUGCUAAAUGUAUUGUAAAGAAAAACAUCACUUACAACUAGGGGUGUACAAAAAUUACUUAAAAACCAAAAAGUGGCAGAAAGCUAGGCUAAAAUAAAAUUCAGUUUGAUUUUUCAGUUUUCGAUUUUGGUUACAAUUCUUGUAAAUUACAAAUUUUGACUUGAAUUUUAUCUUUUAACUCAAAAUCAAUCUGAAGAGCUAUAAAUCGAAUGUAUAUAUAUAUGUGUGUGUGUGUGUGUGAAUUUUGAUAUAUAACAUGUUAGUACCCUUGACUGUAUAUUUUAUCAACAUAUUUCUUUCAUCAAACAUAACAUUUUAUUUAAAAAUUUGUUUUUCAUAAUAUAAUUGUUCUCGAGGGGAACGAUGGGAUUUUGUAAAGGUGGGGAGGCUACCCCAGCUCGCUAGUUUUGGAUGUGAGAUUAGAAAUUAAGUUGUUCAGCUCUCAGGCUCUCAACUGAAUGCAUUGCUCUCCUCUUUUGUUCCACAUCGAAAAUGCAAGAAAUCUUUUUUGCUCUCAGUUGCAGAUAAAUAAGCAUGUGUCAAGGUGACAUGUGCCAAGGUCUUAAAGUCUUGUAAUGUUUACACAUGAUUUUGGUAUAUUUUAGCUUGGAGGGAAGGUUAAUCUAGAUGCGAUUGGGUGUAUGCCUUUCUUGGUCUUCAUUCCACAGAUGAUCAUAUAGGAAUGCGAUUAUGUGGUACUCUCAACCUAGAGGUUUGGGUGUAUGCCUUUCUUGGUCGUCAGUUAUACAGUUGAGCGGUAUAAUCCAAGACCACUGUUGUGAUAUGGGGAUGAAAGUUACUUUCAAUGUUGGUAAAUGUAAGCUAUUUCCUUUACGGUUCGAAUCUGGGUUCUGUAGUCUUGACCUUGGUUCAAGGGCUAUCGAGCCAUAAGACUUGACUAGUAGUUUAAACAUAUGAGUGUUUCUUUGGAUAAGGAUGAGUAUGGUUGGGCUGGACUUGGUGUAAUCUUGUUGACGCCUGGGCAUGGCUCCUUGGCACUUUGAGAGGAUCGUGGCAAAGGUGAUUCCUAUUGGCCAUUAUGUUCAUGAUACAUUAACCCCACUGGAGUCUUUGUUCCCUCUCUUCCCUUGGGCUUGCAAAUUAUUUUUUGUUACCUAGACGUUGUGUUUGAAAACAUAAAUUUUGGACAUUAGAUUUUGAUUUAGGUAAAUUUGAACAAAUUUUAAUGUAAUUUUAUAUUACAUUUUAUCUAAAUAUAAUAAAAAUCCAAAUCCAAGGUCUCUCUAUAUACAUGAAAAGUGUAAUUCAUUGCGCAAUCCUAACAGUACUAUUGCUUAUACUAUAUAUGUUGCGGAGUAAACAAAGUUAGCACUCAAUCUUCGUAAGUCUUUUUCUUAUGGAAGAGAGAAGCAUGGGAAUUGAGUUUGUUAAUGGUUAGAGAUGUGAACAUUCAGAAGUUAUAUUGAGAAAUUGCCUUUUAUUGUGUUUGUGUUUUUUAGAUGUGAGACAUAUAUAAGUAGAUUUUGCAUUUAUUUGUGGUGGUAUUUAUUUGUUACAUGUCAUUUCUAAAAGCAAGCACAUACACAACAUAUAACAUAAAGAUAGAUUUUCUUAAUAACUUCCCGUAUACAUACAUGAAAAAUAAGUACAAUACUGGCCACAACCCACAGCCUUUGAUGAUUACCUACUACUGCAUUAUAUAUAUAUAUACACAUGGUUUUGAAAUAAUUAUUGUAGUAAUUUUUAUAUGUAUGAUGGGUCUAUAGUUUACUUUUCUUGACAAAAAUUAAUUUUUUUUCCUUAGGGUCCGUCAAAUUACAGAAUAUUAGUGUGGAAAAGAAGCAUCACACAUGGUCUAUUCAGAUUUUAGACAAGCUGCUUGAUUGCGCUUUAAAAUGGGAGCACAGCGGACAUUAUUCCAUAUGGUUCGGGUGUCAAUUGAAGUCUUUGGAGGACGAGAUGGGCAUGGUCCCUAGUCAGCCCAAGACGGAAUCAGCAUUUUUGGAUGCAGCAAAGAAGGGAACAGUAGAAAUUGUGGAGAAAGUUUUUGAAAGAUGUCCCAUGGCAAUCCACGAUGUAAAUGCAGAGAAGAGGAAUGCAGUGCACCUGGCAGUGGAACACAGACAACCUCGCAUGUACCACACCUUGCUCAAGAUACCCACCUCCAUCAAAGACCAAAUAUUUAGUAAGGUGGAUUGUGAGGGUAACAGCGCUUUGCAUCUUGCGGCGAUGCUCCGCGAUUAUCGACCUUGGAACAUUCCCAAUGCUGCCUUACUGAUGCAAUGGGAAAUGGAAUGGUUCCAGUACAGUUUGUGGAAAACAGCAUGCCAGAAAAUUUCUUUGCUUCGUGCAACAUUCUGGCGCAGACCCCAAAGCAAAUAUUCAGACACACAAGGAGCUAGUAAAAGAAGCUAAUGAAUGGAUAAACAGCAACUGCCACGUAAACUCUGUCGUUGCAGCACUCGUUGCGACAGUUGCUUUUGCAACAAUACCAGGAGGGUUCAAGCAAGACACUGGCGCCGCAGUAGCUCAUGAGUACCGCCCUGCAUUCAUCAUCUCCGUUGUCUCACCCGUUAUUGCUCUGGGCUUUUCACAGAUCUCCCUGGUGUUCUUACUCACCAUGUUCACUCGCCCGCCACUGAGAAGUGGUUUUGAAGGGGUGGCACCAACACGACUACUUCUGGGUAUGGCUGCACUUUUGUUUUCCCGUCCUGCCAUUCUACUCACUUUCUGUGCUGGCCACUUCUUUGUGGUUAAGACACCAGCUCCAACAUGAUAUCUUCCCCAAUAUAUGCUCUAUUGCUAGCAUAUGCAGGGGUUUGUCUGCCAGUUAAAUGUGUUGCACUCCACUACUCCUACUACUACCUUAACAUUGCAGGAGUCUACUCUGCCAAGCGGGUGCCACGAUGUCAUUAUGGUUGUUCAGUCAUUUAAAUCAUUCGAAUUGGUUGUUUUUGGUUUCUCAAACUUCUUGAGCUUGUAAUUUCUGUUUGGUUUCAUGGUUUUAGUAUAUCCUUUUUCCUUCUUCAAAAAAUUAUUUAGACUAGGUUUGGAUUUGGGAGGAGACCAGCAUUUAUAACCUGAACCCAAUUUGUUUAGUAAAUGGAUUAGGUGAGUUUUGGUUGGAUAUCCA